rnacentral:lncRNA from 1 species
UUCAUUCCUUACUAGUGCACCGAUGAAACUAGUUAAGGUAUGCCCAUUAGGUUCUAUAAGUUGUCCCUGGUUGUUCCAAGAGACAUCUAGUAUGAUGCCUCGAGAUCUUCCUUGGACCACCCUUCGCAUCACUGUGAUGCCCCUUCGAAUUUCUUCUUCCGCGGAUACUUUACUAACUUCCUCAUGUUGGUCAUCAGCCAUGUCUAACCUGUAAUAAACCAAGGAAACCAUCAAAUAUCAAAUAUAACUUAUAAUCAAAGCAAUUGAAAAGAAAAAAAAUAAAGAAAUCAUGCAUUAUCAGAUAUAACUUAUAAUCAAAGCAAUUGAAAACAAAAAUAUAAUGAAAUCAUGCAUUAUCACAUAUAACUUAUAAUCAAAACAAAUGAAAAAAAAAUAAAGAAACCAUGGAUAAUUUACCUAAGUCACUAACAUCUCUUUCUUUU